rnacentral:tRNA from 1 species
GUCCUCGCAGAGCAGCCAGGAGUGCUCACCUGCCCGUCAAGCAGGAGAUCGUGGGUUCAAAUCCCAUCGGGGACG